UUUGUUGGAAUAUCCAUACUUGCUUGAAGAAACAAACUUAUUACCGUCACCUUAAUAACCUUGUUCAGUGACUCUACAAAUUAAACGUUAAACAAGAAACAACGUGUGACAUUUUGUUUCCUCGAAAUUAAAAAUAUCACCCAAGGUAAGGACCUUUAUAAAAGAAAUUUUACCAUAUUUGCUGAGAGAAAAUGAACAAAAAAUGCCUGAACUCAAGGAGAAAUAUCCUGCCAAAAACGUAGCUCCCAUUUAGACCAUUUAAAAUUCAUGGAGAUCAGUGCAAGUCGAUGCCUGCCUCGGAGCAGAUAAAAAUCAAUUCAAAUGUAUGUUUGUUUUGGUUAGGGCAAAAUUACAAAUGUAUCUAAUUUGUAAAAGCAUUUUACGUAAACUGUAGGGAAAAAUGUGCGUUUCUGAAAGAUUGUAAAGUUUGAUCAGUCAUUUCUUGAUAAGAACUCCAUAGGAUCAACUUGACUGAAUCCACAACCCAUUCAUUGCAGAAUGGUAAAUAUUUUCAAUGCUCAAGACUUUCGUUUCACUGAUGUAAAUGAAUCUUUAAAGGGGUAUUGACUAAUAUUACCGAAAGUGUAAGGUCGUCAACUUUUUGUAUUCACCUCCAGGUCCAGGCGGGGGCAAUACAGGUCCGAUCUGUCUUCCAGACACCAACAUCGGAUGUGACUCCUCUGAAAUAUGCGAUCCAGAUUAUGGGUGUGUUCCACUUUAGUUUGGGAGCGGAUAUUAGGGAUAACUCAACGUGCGUGUUUGCACCCUGCGUAGUGACUUCAGAUCAGUCAGCGGUUUGGGUUUUUCUUGCAUGUUUCUAGCAUCAUGUUUAUUUGAAACGAAUUUAUACCAAGACAUUUUAGAGUUAGGUGAUGGGAGGUAAACAUAAAAAUUAGAAUAAAUGAUGCAGAUAAAUGCGGAAUAUCAAGGAAAUAUUUGACCUGUUUAUUAGUUUUUGGAAACUUUUGGAUUCUGUUGCGCCGUCCACAGUCAAAUCAUGGACUGUGAGAAGUAAAAAGCCGUGGUACAAUCUGAAAAUCCAUAAUGCUUGGCGUGUAAGACGCAGAGCUGAACGCAAAUGACUUAAAACAGGAUCAUCCGGAGAUUGGAGAAAUUCAGAAGAUAUCAGGCUAGGAUUAAAUACUACAAUGAAAAUUCCUCUUCCUGUAACACAAA